UCUCCCCGCUCUCUCUCUUCCCAGCUGGACCAGGUUGGAAUCCACACAUGCUCACUCUGCCUCCCUGACACAGACUCUCUACUUAGUGCUGGGGGAGGACCGGGAGGACCGGGAGGACCGGGGCUUCUCAAUGAGGGGACGCAGCCAAGAGCAGACAGAGCAGUCAUUCCUCCGGAGCUUUCCGCUGCACGCAUGACAAGGAGUGUGAAGGUGGGGGUGUCAGAAAAGCUCCCUGUCACCACAAAAUAGGACUUCUACUGGCGGAGAGCAAGGCAGCGGCGGAGGCAAAGAAGACAAAAAGAGAUUUCCACAUCUGACGCUGAAACAGCCGUGACGUGAUGAGUCCCUUAGUCCUCAGACCAGGGGGUGACACAGACUUGAGGGGGUGCUGGCUUUGCUGACUCUUUGUGUUGUCAAGGAAUUGAAAGGAAGUGAGAAGUCUGGUCCAGAGGAGCCACGACCCACAAAAGAAAAGAACAUUUGAGAUCCCCUUUUGUGUUGGCUUCGGCUAAUCUGAAAUCUGGGAUUGCUUUCUCCACAAUGGAUGCCUUUCAAGAGGGGGAGUAAGUCUGCCAUCCCAACCCGGCUUGGUCCUCCUCCACUCCUUGCUCAGACCCGGCCUCAGGAUGUCCUGGUUGUUCGCCAUGUGGGUCAGCCUCAGCUUCCUGCUGCUGUGCCAGGCGUCCCUCUACCAGACCAUCCAGCAGCACCAUGUCGCCCGUCCCGGUCGCACCGACAUUCUCACCCUGGAGGGAGGGACGUGCGAGGUGAUUGCGGCCCACAGAUGCUGUAACAAGAACCGCAUCGAGGAGCGCUCUCAGACCGUCAAGUGCUCCUGUUUACCAGGCAAAGUGGCCGGAACAACACGCAACAAACCUUCAUGUGUGGACGCAUCCAUCGUAAUUGGGAAAUGGUGGUGUGAGAUGGAGCCGUGUCUGGAGGGGGAAGAGUGCAAGACUCUGCCCGACAACUCUGGAUGGAUGUGCUCCUCUGGAAAUAAAGUCAAGACCACGAGGAACACCCAGCCAUACUCCCCUUUUUAGCUUCCGGAAGCAAAAUGCAGAGGAAACGUCAACCGAAAUUGAGCUGCAUUCUUGCUUCUGUAAAGAUUAAUCCCAGGACCUAGCAGCGAGCUCUCAUCAGGACCAUCAGGACCAGCCUCAUGCCAGCCUCUUCCCCUCAUCUACUCUUUCUCUUCCCCAUGAACGCUGUAAAACUAUUACAUCCACGGCUGCUGACUGGAUUACCUGGGACCACGGAAUGGAUAUCCACCUCGAUAAAACAGCUUUGCUGGUGUGUUGCCAAGGAUUUCAAACCGCUAAUCCCCUGUUUGAUCAAGGAUGUUGGCUGCUGGUGAUCUCCUCCACACAACUGUGGCCAGUUUCCGUCCAGCUCCCUCCCAGUCCGCCCUCACUCAGCGUGUCCCUCAAAAACACAAGCAGCACAGGAGGGAACAUUUUGAGGUCAUCUGAACAGGAUGUGAAGAUGUUCCCCUUGCUGGUCAAAAAGCUACUGAGGAGGACGUGAACACGGAACUAAGAGCAUAAAAGCGGGAAUUGGCCUGACAUCCUUUUAUUUCUGUGUGGCUUGCCGCCUUUGUGUUCCAAGAUUACAAGAUGGUUUUGCAAGGACUGCGUGGGAGUGAGGGGGGAAAUGAGCCGCUUUUAGGAGGAUAAUCAAGACUUUUUUAAGGUCUUCCCUUAUGGCCUCACCUUUGCGGUCAAUAAUGAACAUUGACCUGAAAGGCAUGUACAUUCGGCUGCGCUACUUUUCUGUCUGUGUAAGACCCCCUGUGUGUAUAUAAUGAUAUGAAUAAGACAUGUACCCCAGCAGAGCCGAAAAGCUGCAAAGUAUAUUUAAGACUCUACUAGGAGCUUGACCCCCAUAGUGGAAUAUUGUUCUUUCCCCUCUCUGAGUAAAAGUGCGAUUCAUACUUGUGCAGAGCCCUGCUUUGGUGUGUAAAGGACUGCUUUACUCGAUAACUGUAACAAUGAGUAUCUGUCACUUUGGUCGUUGAGCCACGACAUGCUUGUCAACAUGAGGAAAAACACUGUAUAGGACUGCCUCAUAAACCAACAAUGCCUGAGGUUUCCACUCAGAUUGUCCACUGUUGCCAAACACCUGCAGGAAGACGGGCGUACUCACACUAGGCUAUUCCGACUGUGCUGGACUUGGUGGAGAUUCUCCCUCCCUCUUCUGGCCUCCGACUGAGCAUUCAUGCGUGUCCCAUUGCUUCUGCACUGCUGUAUUACCUGCUCUAUUACCUGACUCCGUGGAUUAUUGCCAGUCUUGAGUUGUUCCCAUUAUUUCUAUAGUGUUAUUUAUUACUUGCCAGAGUCGUUAUUCCACACACAAUUGUAUUCACUGGUGAGUGCCGUGGGUUUGAUGAUUUAGAGUAUUUAUUUUUCAUUGUAUGAUGAAAUGUGUCGCUUAUCAUUAAGAACCUGCACGGAACGAUCGCACUCGGCUACAUUGUGUGCGCGCAUGCUACCGCGGCGUGCCUCGGCCCACCUAUCUCAAGAAAUGGCGAACCCGAGCACGCAUCAUAAGACUCACGCAGUGAGAUUGCUUUACUGUGAGUACGCCCUUAUUCUCCGUCUCUGCUGCAGAAAGUGGUCUUCAGCAACCCUUGACAGUUGUUGAACAGAUGCUUCAUACACCAAACAGUGAAUAUUUAGGAUACAUAUUGGUAAACACAAAGUAUUGGCAGUCAAGAAAAAUACUGUUAUCCCCCAAGUAGAUAGAAGUACAUUACAGCAGAGCCUUAUGAGAAAUAAAAAGUGUUUUUCUAUACCGAUUUGCUGCCUCCAGUUCCUUCCUGUAGUAGAAUCAGGACUGCUUGAUGUGCUGUAAUACCUUGGCACACAAUCUUGUCACUUAUGGGAUGUAUUAACAUUGUGAAGAGACUUUUUGCUUGAGUGAAUUGGCAAUCAAAAACAACACAAGGCGAAUAUGAAAUGUGACUUCCAGGCAAACAAACGUGUAGUAAACACACACACCAUUCAGUGAUGCUUCGUUUAUCCUCGUCCCUUGGUGGUGGGCUGGAUUUAUCAGGACAGCACAUUUCAUUCAUUCGGGCAAUUAGAAUCAAGGUUUCCAAUAUUGUGCCAGGCCAACAUGGAGAUGAUUUUCAAUAUCAAGCUCUUCUCAGCUCAUUUGGGAUUCCCAGCGGAUGAGCUUGUAUACAUUUAUCACUGCAGAAAUUGUCAAGUUUCAUGGAGUGCAGAGCCACAAUAACAGAUGCAUCAGUGCCACAGUUAUGACUAAAUAUGCAAAACAUGCUUUUUGUUCUUUGUGUUCUCAAGAGAAAGACUCAUAACCACGUGCAUGAUAAUCUGUACAUUUUUAAGUGUGCAAACAAAGUCUGAGUACGGAUUACCACGGGGUACAAGCUACUUUUAAAAUAACCAACCCCAAAGAUCUACCUCGCUAACUCAUUCAUUCAUUAUUUCUGUACGUUUUAAAACAUCUUUUAACACGUAUGCAUCAUGGAAAACAAACGGCAGCACAGGCACAGACAACCUUUUAGAACCUGAUCCUGAUCCCGAUCUGAACAGGAACAGGAACCGGAGUGGAAUGCCAACACCGAAUUCAUAUCUCCAACUCCAAAAAACGUGUCUUGUCCGUUCGCCAUCGGAACGACACUUCCUCAUUGUGCACGAGAUGCAUUCACUGACACUCAGAACAUCACAACAGCAUAUUUAUUAUGCGUGUAUGUGUGGUCUAAAGAAACAGAAACCGAAAAAAACCUUAAGUGCAUAUUACUCACCAUGUCACUUUUAAU